rnacentral:rRNA from 1 species
CUUAGAGUUUGAUCCUGGCUCAGGAUGAACGCUGGCGGCGUGCCUAAUACAUGCAAGUCGAACGAAUCUCUUUUAGAGAUGAGUGGCGAACGGGUGAGUAAUACAUAGGUAACCUGCCCCUGUGCGGGGGAUAACAGGAGGAAACUCCUGCUAAUACCGCAUAGCCAUGAGCACCGCAUGGAGCUCAUGCCAAAUAUCCUUUAUGGGAUAGCGCAGGGAUGGACCUAUGGCGCAUUAGCUGGUUGGCGGGGCAACGGCCCACCAAGGCAACGAUGCGUAGCCGGCCUGAGAGGGCGGACGGCCACAUUGGGACUGAGACACGGCCCAGACUCCUACGGGAGGCAGCAGUAGGGAAUUUUCGGCAAUGGGGGAAACCCUGACCGAGCAACGCCGCGUGAGCGAAGAAGGCCUUCGGGUCGUAAAGCUCUGUUGUAAAGGAAGAACGGCGCAUACAGGAAAUGGUAUGCGAGUGACGGUACUUUACCAGAAAGCCACGGCUAACUACGUGCCAGCAGCCGCGGUAAUACGUAGGUGGCGAGCGUUAUCCGGAAUCAUUGGGCGUAAAGAGGGAGCAGGCGGCCGCAAGGGUCUGUGGUGAAAGACCGAAGCUAAACUUCGGUAAGCCAUGGAAACCGGGCGGCUAGAGUGCGGAAGAGGAUCGUGGAAUUCCAUGUGUAGCGGUGAAAUGCGUAGAUAUAUGGAGGAACACCAGUGGCGAAGGCGACGGUCUGGGCCGCAACUGACGCUCAUUCCCGAAAGCGUGGGGAGCAAAUAGGAUUAGAUACCCUAGUAGUCCACGCCGUAAACGAUGGUCACUAAGUGUCGGGGGUCAAACCCCGGUGCUGCAGUCAACGCAAUAAGUGACCCGCCUGAGUAGUACGUUCGCAAGAAUGAAACUCAAAGGAAUUGACGG